AGACCGAUAGCGAACAAGUACUGUGAAGGAAAGAUGAAAAGCACUUUGAAAAGAGAGUGAAAAAGUACGUGAAAUUGUUAAAAGGGAAGGGUAUUGAAUCAGACUUGGUGCUGUUGUUCAACUGUGUUUCGGCAUAGUGUACUCAGCAGUACUAGGCCAAGGUGGGGUGUUUGGGAGUGAAAAAGAAGUUGGAACGUAACUCUUCGGAGUGUUAUAGCCUACUUUCAUAGCUCCUCAGGCGCCUCAGGACUGCGCUUCGGCAAGGACCUUGGCAUAAUGAUUCUAUACCGCCCGUCUUGAAACACGGACCAAG
rnacentral:rRNA from 3 species